CCGUUAUUUUACCAUUCAAGCCGUAAUUUUUGACUUCUUCUCUCACGUGUGGACCCCACUUUUCUUCUAACGGUCAAAAAAUCAAUUCUCAAAAUCCCUACCAAACGGGGCCUUAGACCAGAAAUGAAGGUGCAAUUCUUUGGUUUUAGGGAGAUGGAAAUCCAAUGGCAAUGAAGGUUGUGCAAUUUUUGGCUUUUUGACAAUUACGGCCAAAAGAUCAAAAGGAAAAGAAGCAGGAGGAUAAAGAAUAUACACUCUGAUACCAUGUGAGAAAAAUGGGUUGUUCUGUCUUGUUUUGUAGAGCAUGGAUUGUAUUUAUAUAGAACUCCUACAAGAAAGAAACUCCGUAAUAAUAUGCUCAUACUAAUUGCAUGAAAACUCAUACACAAUAUCUACAAAAUAAAUACAAAGAUAAAUUAGAUUUGCUAAGAAUGAGGAUUCAAUUAUAAAUAAAUUUCCUCUUUUGGAAGGUUCUGAUCUCUUGACAAUUGAAUUGCUACAUAAAUCGAGAGCAAGAUAGGAGCCAUCCAAAAUGAAAAAUCAUGAAAACAGAAAUAAACAAGUAUCAAUGUAGCGAACUGGCUUGAAAGAAAUAAUGCGGUCCAACAUAGGGACAAGUGAAGGAAAGACCAAGUGACUUACAAUAUUUAAGGAAUAUAGGUACUAUAUAUAGCUUUAUUAACAUGAGAAGUUUCUAUUAUAUUGAGAGAAACAAAUUACGUACAAUUUCCAAACACGACAUAGACAAACCAACUGAAUAUAUGUUGAAAUAUGCCUCUAUUUUCUUGGCAUCUAACAUCUUAGAAUGAAUUUCGAAAAGUCUGUAUGAAAAUCAUCCACUUUCUUGGUUCUUCAAAAGAAAGGCCAAAAGUUGAAUUAAGACAAUGCUGGGGAAAAAGUUCGGGAGUUAAAGGACAUAAGAUACAACCUCCAGGGACUACACAAGUUAAAUAACAUUGGCAGCUAUCUGUAGUUUCUUUUACCAAAAUUGAAGAAAGGUUCAAAAAAGAUGAUGGUGAACCACAUUAUAAACAUAUAAGUUUGGUGUCAGUAAAGGUGAACAGGAAGUUCUCGUUUACGAGUAGUUUAACCUGGAUAGCGAAUCCUGUAGGAAUUUUCCAUUCAAACUCACGCGAUCCACGAGUUCAUUGAAAAUGGGAGCUAUUUGGCAUACUUGUUUCCAAUGACUUUCCCGAAAUGGCAUAGGCAAAAAAGAAAAUGGGGCAUCACCCAUGCCCACGCCAGGCACUCUUCCUGAUCUCUGUCAAUUCCUGUCUCCAAAAAGAAGCCCAUGAAGGGAACUCCAUACGAGCGCAUCAUAUUCCAUUUUCUGAAGCAAUUGUGGGUCAAUUUUGUGAGGAUCAACGAUAAAGCUCAUAAAUUCCCUUGAUGGGUCUCCAUUUCUUCAACUCCGCUGCAUUUCGAAGCCUGAGGCACGGAGAAAUUCGCUGGUUUUGGAAGAUGGGUUUGCAAGGAUUUAGUAGGGGUAUUGAAAAUGAAAGAGUUGUGGUUUGAUUUGCUACGCAAAGGAAUGGUACUGGAGGUAGGAAGAGAGCAGAAUGUGUACAGGCCAACACCCAUUUUCACAUUUUUUUGACUACUCCAUGGAUGUCCAUUCCUUUUGGUUUUGCAAGGAACAAGAUGGGUGGGUAUACAGUAUGAAAUUGUGGUGGAAACUGGAUGGGAUGGUCACAUCCAUUUCUCAUUAUGUUCCUCCAUUCAACAUUUUUAUUUUAUUUUAUUUUAAUAAAG
rnacentral:lncRNA from 1 species